rnacentral:rRNA from 1 species
AAAAACAUCGCCUCCUGCAAAGAUCAAUGUAUAUGAGGUCCUACCUGCCCAGUGACCAURUUUAAACGGCCGCGGUAUCUUGACCGUGCAAAGGUAGCGCAAUCACUUGUUUUUUAAAUAAAGACCUGUAUGAAUGGUGAAACGAGGGCUUAACUGUCUCCUUUUUCUGAUCAGUGAAAUUGAUCUACCCGUGCAGAAGCGGGUAUAAAURUACAAGACGAGAAGACCCUAUGGAGCUUAAGACUUAAGUCAAUUACGUUAAUAAAUCCCUCUAAAAGAAAUAAACAAAAUAAUUACAUGACCACUGUCUUCGGUUGGGGCGACCACGGGGGAAAACAAAUCCCCCACGUGGAACGGGAAAUUCUCCUAAAACCACGAGGAACACCUCUAAGUCACAGAACCUCUGACCAAAAGAUCCGGUAUCUAGCCGAUCAACGAACCAAGUUACCCUAGGGAUAACAGCGCAAUCCUCUCCAAGAGUCCAUAUCGACAAGAGGGUUUACGACCUCGAUGUUGGAUCAGGACAUCCUAAUGGUGCAGCCGCUAUUAAGGGUUCGUUUGUUCAACGAUUAAAGUCCUACGUGAUCUGAG